rnacentral:rRNA from 1 species
GACGAACGCUGGCGGCGUGCCUAAUACAUGCAAGUAGAACGCACAGUUUAUACCGUAGCUUGCUACACCAUAGACUGUGAGUUGCGAACGGGUGAGUAACGCGUAGGUAACCUGCCUGGUAGCGGGGGAUAACUAUUGGAAACGAUAGCUAAUACCGCAUAAUAUUAAUUAUUGCAUGAUAAUUAAUUGAAAGGUGCAAUUGCACCACUACCAGAUGGACCUGCGUUGUAUUAGCUAGUAGGUGAGGUAACGGCUCACCUAGGCGACGAUACAUAGCCGACCUGAUAGGGUGAUCGGCCACACUGGGACUGAGACACGGCCCAGACUCCUACGGGAGGCAGCAGUAGGGAAUCUUCGGCAAUGGACGAAAGUCUGACCGAGCAACGCCGCGUGAGUGAAGAAGGUUUUCGGAUCGUAAAGCUCUGUUGUAAGAGAAGAACGGGUGUGAGAGUGGAAAGUUCACACUGUGACGGUAUCUUACCAGAAAGGGACGGCUAACUACGUG